GGGCGAAUAGCUCAGAGGUUAGAGCGCUUACCUGAUAAGUAAGAGGUCCGUGGUUCGAAUCCACGUUCGCCCA
rnacentral:tRNA from 1 species